GCAGAUUCACUCUGCACCUGGCUGCAUCUCCAGUCUGGUGCUUUUUCUGUCUGCCAAAGAAACAUUCCAGGAUGCUGUGGCUGCCUCUGCCUAUGGCGGUCAUGCAGCUCUCUGGGGACAUGUGA
ensembl:snoRNA Gm25777 small nucleolar RNA SNORA77